rnacentral:rRNA from 1 species
GACGAACGCUGGCGGCGUGCUUAACACAUGCAAGUCGAACGGUGACGCUGGAGCUUGCUCCAGCUGAUCAGUGGCGAACGGGUGAGUAACACGUGAGCAACCUGCCCUUGACUCUGGGAUAACCCCGGGAAACCGGAGCUAAUACCGGAUACGAGCCGCACAGGCAUCUGCGCGGUUGGAAAGUUUUUCGGUCAAGGAUGGGCUCGCGGCCUAUCAGCUUGUUGGUGGGGUAACGGCCCACCAAGGCGACGACGGGUAGCCGGCCUGAGAGGGCGACCGGCCACACUGGGACUGAGACACGGCCCAGACUCCUACGGGAGGCAGCAGUGGGGAAUAUUGCACAAUGGGCGAAAGCCUGAUGCAGCGACGCCGCGUGAGGGAUGAAGGCCUUCGGGUUGUAAACCUCUUUCAGCAGGGAAGAAGCGAAAGUGACGGUACCUGCAGAAGAAGCACCGGCUAACUACGUGCCAGCAGCCGCGGUAA